CCUACGGGUGGCAGCAGUGAGGAAUAUUGGUCAAUGGCCGGAAGGCCGAACCAGCCAAGCCGCGUGAAGGACGAAGGUGCCAAGCAUUGUAAACUUCUUUUGUCAAGGUACAAAAUCAGGCUCGAGAGCCUGACCGAGGGUCCUUGAAGAAAAAGCAUCGGCUAACUCCGUGCCAGAAGCCGCGGUAAUAAGGAGGAGGCGAGCGUUAUCCGGUUUUAGUGGGGUUAAAGGGUGCGUAGGCGGACUGUUAAGUCAGCGGUAAACGCCCGGGGCUCAACCCCGGCGAGCCGUUGAAACUGGCUGUCUUGCGAUGUCGAGAGGUAUGCGGAAUGCGCAGUGUAGCGGUGAAAUGCUUAGAUAUUGCGCAGAACUCCGAUUGCGAAGGCAGCAUACCGGCGGCGAUCUGACGCUGAGGCACGAAAGCGUGGGUAUCGAACAGGAUUAGAUACCCGAGUAGUC
rnacentral:rRNA from 1 species